AAAAGGGUAUGAAACUUUAAUGAAUGCAUCUCAACCACACACACGCAGGAUAUGAAGCAUUAUCUAAAGACGAUUGGAAAGCCGUAUAUAUAUAUACACAUAUAUUCUGUCGAAAAAGAUUGAAGACGAGACAACGGUGGUAUUGUUUACAUUUAAUAAUAGACAAAAAUGUUCUGCCAUUCUGUUAUGUACAUUUGUAAUUACAGGUUCAGUGAGCUAUCCUCAGGUUUUACAUAGUUUCAUCAGCUUCUAAUAAUAGUUUUUUAAACGCUGCCGCUUUACAUACAAAAUAUGCUAUGUAGAGUACUCACAUUUUCAAAAGCCGCAGGGUCUUUCGCCGUAAAUGGCUUCAGAAAAAAACCAUUCAACAAAUGUUCAUUCACAAUACCUUCUCGAUAUUUACAAAAAUAAACAUAAAAUCCAAAUGCGCAUCGCUGCUAAAUUAUACAUAUUGACAAACUACUCCCUCUGUAUAAUAUAAUGCCACUGUCCUAAGGGAGAAAACAUAUCCAGGCAGGAUGGCCUCAUUCCAGUGUAUGAACCCCAUGGUAGAUAUCAGAACAACAUUUCAAUACUGUGCUAGUGCUUAAAGUACGUGUUUCUAUUUUCUUUUGUCAUCAUCUUCUCAAGUCAACUUCAGUUUAAGGGCGAUUUGGCUGUUGUAUUUACAUUGUAGGCUAUUACUCGCGUACACGGAGGGAGAUUUCGUAAGGGGGAUGUAGUGUUUGUAAAACCGUUAAUCCUAGCCUCGGAGAUGGUGGAAGAAGAGGGAGACAUUAUUUAAGUUGAAUUUUCUUCCCCCAGAUACUGAGGAAAGGGAUUAGAAUAAGUUAGGCUAGUGUUUACGGCGUUGUAUGCUACCAAUUUGCCGUCAUCUGAGGCAUUGAAUGAUUAGGGGUCAUUAGGAACCGCUGCUGCGUGUAAGCUAAUGUAGUACGGCCGCCAUCUUGAGUACCAACUGACAGUUUAAAAUGCCCGCUAUAGUCGCUAGCAUUAGCUAGCUGUAUUUGCACCGAAUAAUUUCAGUCACUCCGAAAGACUUUGAUUGUGUGUAUUUAAAAUCUCAAGACAUAUAUACAUCUAUAAUAAUCAUAAUUAUAUUUGACCAUGUACAGCCAAAAAAGGUAGAUCUUCUAAUGAAGUUUUUUUUUGUCAGUCGACCAGAACUGAACAGAAAUUGCAGUUUAUAUUCAGCCCAGGUAUUCAAAAUGGCGGCAGAAUCAUAAACACUCAGUGAAGUCUCAUGACCAUGAUUCAUGAACAAGGAAGUGUUUCCGCAUGUGGACAACAUUAAAUAUGACGUCAAAAUCAAUUAAGGGACGUACAAAACGCCAGCGUUAACCACCUGAAUUCCCCGACAAACUCCAGAAACUAAACCUAGACUAACCGGCGUUACCACGGCGCUCCCGGACAUGCUGUGGAUCGGGGUUUAUGUGGGUGUGGUGCGUUGCCCCUGAGCAAGGCAGGCCAGACACUGCACCAGUUAUAUCAACCGCUUCACACGCCACCGUAAGACGGGCCGUUGGCUGCUGGUUCGAAACCCCCCCUUAACCAGCCACAGACAAAGGCUGCUAGGCUAACAAUGCUAACAUGAGCCCGAAUGUUCUGAAGAGUUUGUGCUUGGCGAGCAUCAUUUAUUGUACAUUCAUACCCAGAAAUCCUGCUCCCCCGUGGAAGACCUCCAGUGUUGAUCUCACGCGCACACGCUGGAGACACGCACGCACAAAACACCCGCCCCCUGCCCUCGCCUUCUUCCUCUGUGGCAGGAAACGGGUCAUCGAUCUCUGCGCGAGGAGAUGGAGAGCAUCGAUUCCCAGCUUGGAAAUUAGGAUGAGUAGCUUGUGUGUGUGUGUGUGCGUGUGUGUGUGUGUGUGUGUGUGUGUGCACGCACACACAUAAUUGAGCAUGGAAUAUAAUCAGGAACGAUCGUGGGAGGGCUGGAUUCUGGAUUCACUGAGGAAAUGUUAUCUAAAAUCGUAGGUAACAUGUCGGUCUUGCUCAAGAGCUCCCGGGCAGCCAUAGAGAGCGAUGCGGUUGGGGGGGAGGAGGAGGAGGGGGGG
ensembl:lncRNA